UACAGAGGGUGCGAGCGUUGCUCGGAAUUACUGGGCGUAAAGCGCGCGUAGGCGGAUUGUUAAGUCAGAGGUGAAAUCCCGGAGCUCAACUUCGGAACUGCCUUUGAUACUGGCAAUCUAGAGUCCGGAAGAGGUUAGUGGAAUUCCCAGUGUAGAGGUGAAAUUCGUAGAUAUUGGGAAGAACACCAGUGGCGAAGGCGGCUAACUGGUCCGGUACUGACGCUGAGGUGCGAAAGCGUGGGGAGCAAACAGG
rnacentral:rRNA from 1 species